AUAUCUCUCCGUACGGGAAGGAUGAGAAGCUUCGACUAAGGUUCGACUCGAGCGAAAGCGAGAAAGCGUUGCCGCAGGCAACGACCCGAAGGGCGAAACGCGCAGCGCUGAGUCAUCCUUCCCCCACCACCA
rnacentral:sRNA from 8 species